GACAAUGUAGGACGGAAUGGUCCCGUCCUAGUUUUGUGGGAUGGGAUGGUCCCGUUUAGUGUUUGGUUGAAAUACGAUGGGACAGUCCCGUCUUGUGUUUGGUUGGAGAGGUUGAGGUAGGUGAUAUGGAUGAAAUUUUUGACAUCGUUAGCUACAGUAUUUUUGACCCCAAAUGUUAUUUUGUAUACAUUUAUUUUUUUCCUUUUUCCCCUCUUCUUCUCUAGCCGGCCUCAUGUAUUCAACACCGCCGCCCUAGGGCCACCCCCC
rnacentral:lncRNA from 1 species